rnacentral:rRNA from 1 species
AACGAAUGCUGGCGGCAUGCUUUACACAUGCAAGUCGAACGGUAACAGGCCGCAAGGUGCUGACGAGUGGCGAACGGGUGAGUAAUGCAUCGGAACGUGCCCAGUCGUGGGGGAUAACGCAGCGAAAGCUGCGCUAAUACCGCAUACGAUCUAUGGAUGAAAGCGGGGGGACCGUAAGGCCUCGCGCGAUUGGAGCGGCCGAUGUCAGAUUAGGUAGUUGGUGGGGUAAAGGCUCACCAAGCCAACGAUCUGUAGCUGGUCUGAGAGGACGACCAGCCACACUGGGACUGAGACACGGCCCAGACUCCUACGGGAGGCAGCAGUGGGGAAUAUUGGACAAUGGGCGAAAGCCUGAUCCAGCAAUGCCGCGUGAGUGAUGAAGGCCUUAGGGUUGUAAAGCUCUUUUACCCGAGAUGAUAAUGACAGUAUCGGGAGAAUAAGCUCCGGCCAACUCCGUGCCAGCAGCCGC